CUAAAUGUCAUUGCUUAGUUAUUCAUGUUCUCACUUGAAACCACAUCGUCAUCAACCUCUAGUUCAUACUAACACAAGAUACUACAAUGUUAACAGAUUAACAGGAGAGGUCUAGAUACUACAAUGUUAACAGAUUAACAGGAGAGGUCUAGAUACUACAAUGUUAACAGAUUAACAGGAGAGGUCUAGAUACUACAAUGUUAACAGAUUAACAGGAGAGGUCUAGAUACUACAAUGUUAACAGAUUAACAGCAGAGGUGUAGAUACUACAAUGUUAACAGAUUAACAGCAGAGGUCUAGAUACUACAAUGUUAACAGAUUAACAGGAGAGGUCUAGAUACUACAAUGUUAACAGAUUAACAGGAGAGGUCUAGAUACUACAAUGUUAACAGAUUAACAGGAGAGGUCUAGUCACAUGUAGUAGAUGGUACUCCUUAUUCAUCUUUCUUGGAAAAGUUUUUUACCUGCUUGAUUUCUA
rnacentral:lncRNA from 1 species